rnacentral:rRNA from 1 species
UACGGAGGGGGCUAGCGUUGUUCGGAAUUACUGGGCGUAAAGCGCACGUAGGCGGCUUUGUAAGUUAGAGGUGAAAGCCCGGGGCUCAACUCCGGAAUUGCCUUAAGACUGCAUCGCUAGAAUUGUGGAGAGGUAAGUGGAAUUCCGAGUGUAGAGGUGAAAUUCGUAGAUAUUCGGAAGAACACCAGUGGCGAAGGCGGCCUGCUGGGCAGUUUUGCUGACACUGAGGCGCGGACAGCGUGGGGAGCAAACAGG